AGAGUUUGAUCCUGGCUCAGGACGAACGCUUGCGGCGUGCCUAAGAAAUGCAAGUCGAACGGGGGCUUCGGCCCCAGUGGCGAACGGUCGCGUAACACGUAAGCAACCUGCCCUGAAGUGGGGGACAACAUCCCGAAAGGGGUGCUAAUACCGCAUGUGGUCACGAGUCGGCAUCGACUUGUGUCUAAAGAUUUAUCGCUUCAGGAUGGGCUUGCGGCCUGUCAGGUAGUUGGUGGGGUAAUGGCCUACCAAGCCGACGACGGGUAGCUGGUCUGAGAGGACGAUCAGCCGGAUUGGGACUGAGAUACGGCCCAGACUCCUACGGGGGGCAGCAAUUAGGAAUCUUGCGCAAUGGGGGAAACCCUGACGCAGCGACGUCGCGUGAAGGAUGAAGGCCCUCGGGUCGUAAACUUCUUUUGAGUGGGAAGAAAUUUGACGGUACCACUCGAAUAAGCCCCGGCUAACUACGUGCCAGCAGCCGCGGUAAUACGUAGGGGGCGAGCGUUGUCCGAAGUUACUGGGCGUAAAGCGCGCGUAGGCGGUUAUUUAAGUCUGGGGUGAAAGGUUCAGCGCUCAACGUGAACAGUGCCUUGGAUACUGGAUGACUUGAGUCUGGGAGGGGGAAGGGGAAUUCCUGGUGUAGCGGUGAAAUGCGUAGAUAUCACGAGGAACACCGGUGGCGAAGGCGCCUUCCUGGCCUAAGACUGACGCUGAGGUGCGAAAGCGUGGGGAGCAAACGGGAUUAGAUACCCCGGUAGUCCACGCCGUAAACGAUGAGUGCUAGGUGUCGGGGGUAUCGA
rnacentral:rRNA from 1 species